AGAGUUUGAUCCUGGCUCAGGAUUAACGCUAGCGGCAGGCCUAAUACAUGCAAGUCGAGGGGUAACAGGGUAGCAAUACCGCUGACGACCGGCGCACGGGUGCGUAACACGUAUGCAACUUACCUUUAACUGGGGAAUAGCUUCGAGAAAUCGAAAUUAAUACCGCAUAACAUUCUGAAACGGCAUCGCUUUAGAAUUAAAACUCCGGUGGUUAAAGAUAGGCAUGCGCGACAUUAGCUAGUUGGUGAGGUAACGGCUCACCAAGGCGACGAUGUCUAGGGGGUCUGAGAGGAUGAUCCCCCACACUGGUACUGAGACACGGACCAGACUCCUACGGGAGGCAGCAGUAAGGAAUAUUGGACAAUGGGCGCAAGCCUGAUCCAGCCAUGCCGCGUGCAGGAUGAAGGCUCUAUGGGUCGUAAACUGCUUUUGUACGGGAAGAAACCCUCCUAUGUAUAGGGGGCUGACGGUACCGUAAGAAUAAGGAUCGGCUAACUCCGUGCCAGCAGCCGCGGUAAUACGGAGGAUCCAAGCGUUAUCCGGAUUUAUUGGGUUUAAAGGGUGCGUAGGCGGACUUGUAAGUCAGUGGUGAAAGCCUGCGGCUUAACUGCAGAACUGCCAUUGAUACUGCUGGUCUUGAGUAUAGUUGAGGUGGGCGGAAUGUGUCAUGUAGCGGUGAAAUGCUUAGAUAUGACACAGAACACCGAUGCGAAGGCAGCUCGCUAAACUAUAACUGACGCUGAGGCACGAAAGCGUGGGUAGCAAACAGGAUUAGAUACCCUGGUUAGUCCACGCCCUAAACGA
rnacentral:rRNA from 1 species